rnacentral:rRNA from 1 species
UACGUAGGGGCAAGCGUUGUCCGGAAUCAUUGGGCGUAAAGCGCGUGUAGGCGGCCAGGUAAGUCCGUUCUGAAAGCCCGGGGCUCAACCCCGGGAGGCGGAUGGAUACGUGCUUGGCUCGAGUCCGGAAGAGGCGAGUGGAAUUCCCGGUGUAGCGGUGAAAUGCGCAGAGUAUCGGGAGGAACACCAAUGGCGAAGGCAGCUCGCUGGCU